rnacentral:rRNA from 1 species
GAGAUANGUCGUAACAUAGUAGAUAUACUGGAAAGUGUAUCUAGAAUUAUAU